GAUGAAGAACGCAGCAAAAUGCGAUAAGUAAUGUGAAUUGCAGAAUUCAGUGAAUCAUCGAAUCUUUGAACGCACAUUGCGCCCGCCAGUAUUCUGGCGGGCAUGCCUGUUCGAGCGUCAUUUCAACCCUCAAGCCCAGCUUGGUGUUGGGAUCUGUCCUUACCGACAGUCCCCAAAUUGAUUGGCGGUCACGUCGAGCUUCCAUAGCGUAGUAAUUUACACAUCGUUACUGGUAAUCGUCGCGGCCACGCCGUUAAACCCCAACUUCUGAAUGUUGACCUCGGAUCAGGUAGGAAUACCCGCUGAACUUAAGCAUAUCAAUAAGCGGAGGA
rnacentral:misc_RNA from 1 species